AGGCACUUACAGCCUUCAGCUGGCUGUUGAACACAGCCAGAUGCAAAGCGUUAGCACAAUUGCUUGCAAAGUCCUUUUCUCUCACAUCCACACUCAGUUAAGAAGUGAAAUACAAGAUCACUGUGACACCAAUAAAGCAUGCUGUCAGCAAGACGUGUAAGUUACCUGGAAGCUGAAUUCCAUUUGCAGGUGUCAGGGAGUUUGCUUUAUGCAUUUUUUCCUCAAGGAUCAGCCCCUGUGAUUGAUUGCAUUUGCAUCACAUGAAUCUCGUUUCCAUUUCUGGCAUUUUUAUGAAGCUUAUGAAGAUCUGAGGGACUCCAUGGGACCUACUUGGAGCUCAGGGCUGCUCAAGGGAUCACAGUGGGACCAAGGUGAGGGGCAGCCCUAUGGCAGCCUCAUUUUCCAGCCACCUUCCUGUGGUAUUGCUGUCAGACAAGGUGCGUGGGGAAGGCUGCCACUUGAAGGCUGGGGUCUGCUCUGUGCCAGAUGCCUGCACCUCCACACCACUGUCCCUGGGUGGGUGCAUAGCACCACUGGGACCCCACUGCUGGACAUCUGUCCCAAACAGGAAAAAGCUGAGUCCUUCCUUCUGCUGCCUGAACAGCUCCUCCAUGGCCAAAGAUUUCUUGGGGACCACCACCAAGUGCCUUGUCUGGAGACCUGCUGAAGUAGAUGCAGCCUACCAGUCCCUUGAGCCAUCUAGUGGUGCCUUCCUUGACUACUGGAUGGAAACAUUGCCGAAAAAUACUAACAGCAUCUGGUUAAUCCAGAAAGGGCUAUGGGUAACUCAUGCCAGAAGCAGACCAGCUACAAUGAAAAUAAGCCAGUUGGUGUUUCAGUAGGUUACCAAAGCAACAAAAAAUCCCCCCUGGAAAUGGCAGAUGAGACACAGAGGUAGAUGCCAACAUAGGAUGUUAGAGCCUAAGGAAUUUGGUCUGGAGUUGUCGCUUUGUCAUAGUGUUUGCAGCACUUUAUGGUUCCUCAUCGAGUCAAGCUGGGAUUUUAAAAGGAAAGCUGAACCUCCUAACCUGAAACCUCAAAUCCUUUUCUGAUGAUUUUUGUAACUGAAAAGCGGAAAUAGAGUCUUCAGUAAUUCAAAAAAGAUUUAAUGAUCAAAGCUGCAAUUAAAAGCAUGGUGAGUCAUCUUGCAAUUGUCCGUGUGCUAAAAAGUACAGGCUGUGCAAGAGAUCAUGUUGUCAUGACUGGUUUUGCUCAAAGAGGAUAUGGGAGCUGCUAUUACUUCCAGCUACGGAAGCAAUCUAUGUUCUGCAGACCUAUGUUUACAGAGCAGAAGAAAAGGCAACAGUCCCAGCUGCCCCGUUUGUGUAUUUUAUUUAGUAGCUCUGUCUGCAACAUCUGAAUUCAUGAUGGUGCUUUAUUACUUUCUGCCUUCUUCCAGAGUGUCUGCUCUCAGUAGGAGCCUUGAUUUUUUUAAUUAUUUUUUUUCUGCUAACAAAUUACCCACCAAAAAAAAAAAAAAACAAACAACAAAACAAACACCACACCAUAAGAACUGAUCUUUAGGGUAGCAUUAUUAUUAUUAUUUUUCUUCCUGGAGCAUGCACUAACAAUGGAAUAUUUAAGUAAACAUUUCACAGUGUAUGCGCUUUCCCAAAUUAAAAUUGCAAAAGACAAGGAAACAAAGAUGAGCAAAGAUGAAAAUACCCAACCAUGCUAUUUCUCAGAAGCUCUCACAAGUAAAUGGUAUUUCCCUUUAAAUCCUGUUGUUUUAUUCUACUUGAUACAAAAACAAAAACAAACAAAACAAACAAACAAACAACAAAAAAAAACAUAACUUGGUUUAUGUAUAGGAGAAAAUUACUAUAGAGAAAAGUUCCUAAA
rnacentral:lncRNA from 1 species